GUGGGGAAUAUUGGACAAUGGGCGAAAGCCUGAUCCAGCCAUGUCGCGUGUGUGAAGAAGGUCUUCGGAUUGUAAAGCACUUUAAGUUGGGAGGAAGGGCAGUAAGUUAAUACCUUGCUGUUUUGACGUUACCGACAGAAUAAGCACCGGCUAACCUCGUGCCAGCAGCCGCGGUAAUACGAAGGGUGCAAGCGUUAAUCGGAAUUACUGGGCGUAAAGCGCGCGUAGGUGGUUUUGUAAGUUGGAGGUGAAAUCCCCGGGCUCAACCUGGGAACUGCCUCCAAAACUGCAUGACUAGAGUACGGUAGAGGGUAGUGGAAUUUCCUGUGUAGCGGUGAAAUGCGUAGAUAUAGGAAGGAACACCAGUGGCGAAGGCGACUACCUGGACUGAUACUGACACUGAGGUGCGAAAGCGUGGGGAGCAAACAGGAUUAGAAACCCCAGAGUCC
rnacentral:rRNA from 1 species